rnacentral:rRNA from 1 species
AUUGAACGCUGGCGGCAUGCCUUACACAUGCAAGUCGAACGGCAGCACGGGAGCAAUCCUGGUGGCGAGUGGCGAACGGGUGAGUAAUAUAAUCGGAACGUGCCCAGUCGUGGGGGAUAACGUAGCGAAAGCUACGCUAAUACCGCAUACGAUCUACGGAUGAAAGCGGGGGAUCGCAAGACCUCGCGCGAUUGGAGCGGCCGAUAUCAGAUUAGCUAGUUGGUGGGGUAAAAGCUCACCAAGGCGACGAUCUGUAGCUGGUCUGAGAGGACGACCAGCCACACUGGAACUGAGACACGGUCCAGACUCCUACGGGAGGCAGCAGUGGGGAAUUUUGGACAAUGGGCGCAAGCCUGAUCCAGCAAUGCCGCGUGCAGGAUGAAGGCCUUCGGGUUGUAAACUGCUUUUGUACGGAACGAAACGGUGAGCUCUAAUAAAGCUUGCUAAUGACGGUACCGUAAGAAUAAGCACCGGCUAACUACGUG